rnacentral:rRNA from 1 species
GACGUAGGGCGCGAGCGUUGUCCGGAUUUAUUGGGCGUAAAGAGCGCGCAGGCGGUCGUUCAAGUCGCGUGUGAAAGCCCCCGGCUCAACUGGGGAGGGUCACGCGAUACUGAUCGACUCGAAGGCAGGAGAGGGUAGUGGAAUUCCCGGUGUAGUGGUGAAAUGCGUAGAUAUCAAGAGGAACACCUGCGGCGAAGGCGGGUUGCUGGGCCGACACUGACGCUGAGGCGCGAAAGCCAGGGGAGCGAACGGG